UACGUAGGGUGCAAGCGUUGUCCGGAAUUAUUGGGCGUAAAGAGCUCGUAGGCGGCUUGUCGCGUCGGCUGUGAAAACCUGGGGCUCAACCCCGGGCCUGCAGCCGAUACGGGCAAGCUAGAAUUCGGUAGGGGAGACUGGAAUACUUGGUGUAGCAGUGAAAUGCGUAGAUAUCAAGUGGAACACCAGUGGCGAAGGCGAGUCCCUGGACAACACCUGACACUGAGGCACGAAAGCUAGGGGAGCAAACAGG
rnacentral:rRNA from 1 species